UUAAACCUCUCUCCAGUGGGCAUUUUGUUCGCCUUCACACCAACAAGGGCUAUGGCCGUUUGGGUUUCAUCCACAGUCCCACAAAAGAGCCACGCUCAUACCUGGUGAGUGCCGACAGAGGGAUCUACAGAUGCAACCGCCAACAUCUCCUUCCUGUGAAGGAACCACGUCCUGCUGUCUCAUGCAAUGAUGGUCC